rnacentral:rRNA from 1 species
UACGUAGGGUGCGAGCGUUGUCCGGAAUUAUUGGGCGUAAAGGGCUCGUAGGCGGUUUGUCGCGUCGGGAGUGAAAACUCAGGGCUUAACCCUGAGCCUGCUUCCGAUACGGGCAGACUAGAGGUAUGCAGGGGAGAACGGAAUUCCUGGUGUAGCGGUGAAAUGCGCAGAUAUCAGGAGGAACACCGGUGGCGAAGGCUGUUCUCUGGGCAUUAACUGACGCUGAGGAGCGAAAGCAUGGGGAGCGAACAGG